UACAGAGGGGGCAAGCGUUGUUCGGAAUUACUGGGCGUAAAGGGCGCGUAGGCGGCCAACUAAGUCAGACGUGAAAUCCCCAGGCUCAACCUGGGAACUGCGUCUGAUACUGGAUGGCUCGAGUUCGGGAGAGGGAAGUGGAAUUCCAGGUGUAGCGGUGAAAUGCGUAGAUAUGCGGAGGAACACCGAUGGCGAAGGCAAUCCCCUGGGCCUGCACUGACGCUCAUGCACGAAAGCGUGGGGAGCAAACAGG
rnacentral:rRNA from 1 species